rnacentral:rRNA from 1 species
UAGGGAAUCUUCGGCAAUGGACGAAAGUCUGACCGAGCAACGCCGCGUGAGUGAAGAAGGUUUUCGGAUCGUAAAACUCUGUUGUUAGAGAAGAACAAGGGUGAGAGUAACUGUUCACCCCUUGACGGUAUCUAACCAGAAAGCCACGGCUAACUACGUGUCA